AGGUGCUGGAUAAUUAUUUCCUGAAUGAGCACAUACUAUUUUUCUAACAAGGCCACAUGAUGUCAGGGUUCAAGAUAAGAAGCAUCACCCUGUUUAUGCACAGGUCAGACAGCAUCAUCCACUUUAACAGUCCUUUAACAAUCAGCAGAAAGGGUGAGAGAAACUGUAUGCUGAAGCAGUCACAUCUCAAAAGACUUCUUGUGAUUUUGUGUCUCACAGUGUACUUGGAAGAUUUGUGAGUGUACAGAGGCCAGUGAUAGGAAAGAGUUGGGGCAUUCAGAGGCCUGGUGGCAUUGGAGUAUGUGGUCUAGUGUAAUUGGUGGUACGUGAAGACCUGGGCUUCCUCCAACCUAUAUAAAGCUCUUCGUGGAAGCACUUUGGUCUCCAGAAGUGGGUAUUACUCAGGUACCCAUGGGACAAGCUGCCUUCUGAGUCUGUGUGUAACCACAGUGAGGGCAAGGACUGCCCUAGGGCCUUCAUCUGUAUCUUGGGAAGCCCCAUUCCCUGAAACUCCGUGGCUUUGCCUCUCUUUGCACAUCUCCUCAUCUCUAUCAGCUGGGCUCUUCCUCUAGCUCCCCCACUCCCUGCCCCCAGCUCUGGCUUUAUAUCUGACAUAGCAGGGCUCCCCACAUGGUGAUUCUAACGCUCUGCACACCACACUUUCAUUGUAGUUGCUCGCUGUGCUGGGGGAGGCAGAACCAGGUCCUGCUCUCCUCUGCUAGCGUGAUGGGCUUUUGCAUCACCGCACAUCUCCACACACCAUCGGCUCAGCUUCCGUGUGUGGCUCCUCCUCAUCUAUUCGGCUGGUCUCCACGGUCAGUGAAGUAGCAUCCACAGGGCAGGAAAUCAGCCAGAUUCAUCCAGUUUUCUCUCCCCAGAUGUCGCCACACUUCUCUUGAGUGUGGUUAAAAACAACAUCAACAUUCUCAUCUUUGACGUGGAAAUAAUUACAUAAUCAUUGCUUUGCUUCUGUUGAGGAUCUGACCGUUUUCCUCUUACAAUACCUAUAUACUCAUCUACAAAAUCAAAGAUUAAAAACCCAGUAAUUUCUAUGGAAAACAGUCCUUUCUGGCUGUGCGAUCUCAAAUCAGUUAUUUAACUUGCACAUCCUUGGAUCUUGUCAUCUGUAAUUAAGAUCACAAUACCCACCCCACUGGUUAUUGUGAAGAUUAAAUGAUCCCUAUAAACUGCUUAGCACAUGGAAAGCCUAAAAUAAUAGCCUUAAGAGAGCAGAAGAGGCUGAGAUGGGUGUGAGUGUCUUUAAUUCCAACGCUGAGAUUAACUCUGCUCUUAAACACUCUUGGCUACAAGUGGUCCCCAGUUGGAUCUCUACUACAAAUACUGUUGUCCCUAGCCCCACCCCCUGCCCCCGGCCCCAAGGCUUAAGGAAUUUGGCAUGUAAUGAAGACCCACUUUUCACAUCUUCUCUAUACAAACCUUAGUUUCCAUUUGGCAGCUUGAGUUAUAACUGAGUCAUUGUAGCUGAAAGUGUACAAUCACUGCUGGCCAGAAUCCUUAAACCACAGGAGACUGAAUUCCUACCAACCUCCUUCUCCUCAGUGUGUGCACGGCGCAGUGAUGUCCUGUAGAAGUCAGUGUGUGCAUGGCGCAGUGAUGUCCUGUAGAAGUCAGUGUGUGCACAGUGCAGUGAUGUCCUGUAGAAGUCAGUGUGUGCAUGGUGCAGUGAUGUCCUGUAGAAGUCAGUGUGUGCACGGCGCAGUGAUGUCCUGUAGAAGUCCAUAUCCUACUCUGUUUUUCCAGUCCAGAAAAACCCGAAUAAGCAGUCCCUUGAACUUGUUUUUGGGGGCCGUGGCCAGUCUGCUGUGUUGGGAUUGUCAGACACACUGCCCAGCACCAGGCUCUUUGAGGAUUAUAUUAAAAGCCACAUUCCAGGGAAGGAUCUGCUCAGCCACCACAAGCCUAUUCAUUAUUUAUAAACAAUUAAAGGGCAUGGUUCAAAUGAAUGCAAGCAUCUGGGAAAGUCAUUAUUCAUGUACGAAUCUACUCAAGCAUUUGUCAUCUCCCUGGUGACUUAACAUACUCUCUGUGCCUUGAGACCUCAGAUUAUAUUAAGCAAAGUAGAUGCUUAAACUCUUUUAUUUAGUUUAAUCGUUGGUCUCACUCCACUUGUUCAGAUUAUUUGGGCUCGUUUAAAAUUAGCCCUCCUGUCUCCUUGAUACAUUAAAAUAGGAAGGAGGGAAAUUUCGUUUUAGAACCUACUGCAUUCCGAGGAUGAAUGCAAAUUAUCCUACUAUGAUUCUUAAUGACCCACUAUUAACAUAGUAGGAACCCCAGUGCACUAAUGCACUGCUACUUUUCACAUCAUUACUCCUAAUGGAAGUGUUACCAGGAUAAUAGCUUGACCUUUAGCUAUAGAUUCUGAUAGCAAAAUAUAUUCUGCUUCUUCAUACCUCUAUUCACAUAGCGUAUCUGCCACUUUCACAUCAGCGCCAUGACGAUCUUUCGGCCUUGUUCUGAGGUCUCAUCUGCGGUUGUAAUGGAGAGAAUAGAAUUUCAUCUUCAAUAGGUAAAUUCUAGUUAAAAGUCCCUUUGAAGUUCAGAUGUAAUCCAUGAGCCAGAAUGUCAAUAAUGUGCCUAGCGGAAGUAUUUGUUUGUGUAGGCAUUUUUUUUUUUUUAAGAAGCCCGUGCUGUGCCUUCAAAGGUCUUAGUCAUGGGCCCAUGGGAUGGUGAUUUCUCUAACAUUUUUCUAUUGAAAGCAGAAAAGAAAGCAGAAGUGUUAACUGAAAGAAGGAAAAAGUAAGCAGGAAGUGUUGCCUUUUUAAGUGACUGAUGACUAACGGAGCUCAAGGUUAGACUGUAACUCUCGGAGCUGCAGCCCUGCGGGGAAUGAGAGAGAACUUUCCACAGCCUUCCCUUGGGUUAUUCUGAACCGGCCGUUGGCACACACAGAGCCAUUGGCCAUUGGCAUAGCUCGGGUCUACUUUGUUAUUUUGGAAUCACAACUUGCUAAUGUGUGAUGAUUUGGGCACAGACAUUUUACAAUCUUACGAAAGGAGGUUGCUAUGGAAAUUAAUUGUGUACAUAGCAUUCUAAGUGAAAAGAUAUUUACCCCAUCAUUUCUGUAGUAUGCUUUUUAUUUAAAUGAAUAGAGUGUUAAGUACAAAUGAAUUGUUUUGUAAAUUUUAUUUAUUAAAUCAGAACUUCGAGCACCUUUUGACAGUUCUUCAACUAGUAAAUGUUAUUGUGGGC
rnacentral:lncRNA from 1 species